AGCGCGCAGGCGCAGCGGCGACGGCGUCGGCGGCGGCGGCGGCAGCGGCUCCGGCCGAGGUGCGCGCUGGGGGGGAGGGGGGGCCGGAGAGGAGCAUGAAUGGAGCAAAAUGGCGGAUCAUGUGCAGAGCCUGGCCCAACUAGAGAAUCUGUGCAAACAGCUGUAUGAAACCACAGACACAACCACUCGACUCCAGGCAGAGAAAGCCUUGGUUGAAUUUACCAACAGCCCUGAUUGCCUGAGCAAGUGCCAGCUACUCCUCGAAAGAGGAAGUUCCUCUUACUCCCAGUUACUGGCAGCUACAUGCCUUACCAAGCUUGUAUCACGCACAAACAACCCCCUACCAUUGGAACAGCGAAUAGAUAUUCGGAACUAUGUGCUCAACUACCUUGCCACUCGGCCGAAGUUGGCUACUUUCGUGACACAAGCACUUAUUCAGUUAUAUGCCAGAAUCACAAAACUGGGCUGGUUUGACUGUCAGAAGGAUGACUAUGUCUUCAGAAAUGCAAUCACAGACGUCACAAGGUUUUUACAGGAUAGUGUUGAAUACUGCAUCAUUGGUGUCACAAUUUUAUCUCAGCUAACCAAUGAAAUUAAUCAAGCAGACACCACCCAUCCUUUAACCAAGCACAGAAAAAUAGCCUCUUCUUUUCGCGAUUCAUCAUUAUUUGAUAUCUUCACACUUUCCUGCAAUUUACUAAAACAGGCUUCAGGAAAGAAUCUAAACUUGAAUGAUGAAAGUCAGCAUGGCUUGCUCAUGCAACUGCUCAAGCUCACUCAUAACUGCCUCAACUUUGACUUCAUCGGCACUUCCACUGAUGAGUCCUCAGACGACCUGUGUACAGUGCAGAUUCCCACCAGCUGGAGAUCAGCCUUCUUAGAUUCUUCAACCUUGCAGCUGUUUUUUGACCUGUAUCAUUCCAUCCCUCCUUCAUUUUCACCUCUGGUAUUAUCCUGCUUGGUACAGAUCGCUUCAGUCAGAAGAUCCCUGUUUAACAAUGCAGAGAGGGCCAAGUUUCUCUCUCAUCUUGUUGAUGGUGUUAAACGAAUACUGGAAAACCCACAGAGUUUAUCAGACCCAAACAAUUACCAUGAGUUUUGCAGACUACUGGCCCGAUUGAAGAGUAACUAUCAACUGGGAGAAUUGGUAAAGGUGGAAAACUACCCUGAGGUCAUCCGAUUGAUAGCCAACUUCACAGUGACCAGCCUACAGCACUGGGAAUUUGCUCCAAAUAGUGUGCACUAUCUUCUGAGCCUGUGGCAGCGGCUGGCAGCCUCUGUGCCGUAUGUCAAAGCCACAGAGCCCCACAUGCUGGAAACUUACACUCCUGAGGUCACCAAAGCCUACAUCACAUCCCGGUUGGAAUCUGUGCACAUCAUACUGAGAGAUGGCCUGGAAGAUCCCCUGGAGGAUACGGGGCUGGUCCAGCAGCAGUUGGACCAGCUGUCCACCAUUGGGCGUUGUGAAUAUGAGAAGACGUGUGCACUCCUCGUGCAGUUGUUUGACCAGUCGGCCCAGUCGUACCAGGAGCUGCUACAGAGCGCCAGCGCAAGCCCAAUGGACAUUGCAGUGCAGGAGGGAAGGCUGACAUGGCUGGUUUACAUUAUUGGAGCAGUGAUCGGUGGCCGGGUUUCUUUUGCCAGCACUGAUGAGCAAGACGCCAUGGAUGGUGAGCUUGUCUGUCGGGUGCUCCAGCUGAUGAACCUAACAGAUUCUCGUUUGGCCCAGGCGGGUAAUGAGAAGCUAGAGUUGGCCAUGCUGAGCUUUUUUGAACAGUUUCGUAAGAUCUACAUUGGGGACCAAGUGCAGAAAUCCUCUAAGCUGUACCGCCGACUCUCAGAAGUUCUGGGCUUGAAUGAUGAGACCAUGGUCCUAAGCGUCUUCAUAGGAAAAAUAAAUCAGCCCUGGAGUGCCCCAGAAUUCCAAGGGCCUGGGUAUGGGCCAGUGUAGCUUUGGAACCAAGUAGUGAAGAUUAUCUGAAGGAUAAUUUUUCUAGUCAACCAAAUCAUCACCAACUUGAAGUACUGGGGCCGUUGUGAACCAAUCACCUCCAAGACACUACAGCUUCUCAAUGACCUGUCCAUUGGGUACAGUAGCGUAAGGAAGCUAGUGAAGCUUAGUGCGGUACAGUUCAUGCUGAACAAUCACACGAGCGAGCACUUUUCAUUUUUGGGUAUUAACAAUCAGUCCAACCUGACAGACAUGCGGUGUCGGACUACCUUCUACACAGCACUUGGGCGUCUCCUCAUGGUGGAUUUAGGAGAGGAUGAAGAUCAGUAUGAGCAGUUCAUGCUGCCACUCACAGCAGCAUUUGAGGCUGUGGCCCAGAUGUUUAGCACCAAUAGUUUCAACGAGCAGGAGGCAAAGCGAACUCUAGUUGGCCUAGUAAGAGACCUGAGAGGGAUCGCUUUCGCUUUCAAUGCCAAGACCAGCUUCAUGAUGCUCUUUGAAUGGAUAUAUCCAUCCUAUAUGCCAAUUCUCCAACGGGCAAUUGAGCUCUGGUACCAUGAUCCAGCCUGUACUACACCUGUACUCAAGUUGAUGGCUGAAUUGGUUCAUAAUAGGUCCCAGCGACUCCAGUUUGAUGUCUCUUCCCCCAAUGGCAUCUUACUCUUCCGAGAAACCAGCAAGAUGAUAACAAUGUAUGGCAAUCGCAUCCUGACACUAGGAGAGGUCCCAAAGGAUCAGGUCUAUGCUCUGAAGCUCAAGGGCAUCUCCAUCUGCUUCUCCAUGCUGAAGGCUGCUCUCAGUGGGAGUUACGUCAAUUUCGGAGUCUUUCGUCUCUAUGGAGACGAUGCCCUGGACAAUGCUCUGCAGACCUUCAUCAAGCUGCUCCUCUCUAUUCCUCACAGUGAUCUCUUGGAUUACCCCAAGCUCAGCCAGUCUUAUUAUUCACUACUGGAAGUCCUGACCCAGGACCAUAUGAACUUUAUUGCAAGCCUGGAACCUCACGUCAUCAUGUAUAUUCUCUCUUCCAUUUCUGAAGGACUUACUGCACUUGACACCAUGGUAUGCACAGGCUGCUGCUCCUGCCUGGACCACAUUGUGACAUACCUCUUCAAGCAGCUGUCACGUAGCACCAAGAAGAGGACCACACCCCUGAACCAGGAGAGCGACCGCUUUCUGCACAUCAUGCAGCAGCAUCCAGAGAUGAUCCAGCAGAUGCUGUCCACGGUGCUGAACAUCAUCAUCUUUGAAGACUGUAGGAACCAGUGGUCUAUGUCCCGACCACUACUUGGCUUGAUAUUGCUUAAUGAAAAGUAUUUUUCUGACCUAAGAAACAGUAUUGUGAACAGCCAGCCACCGGAGAAGCAGCAGGCCAUGCACCUGUGUUUUGAGAACCUGAUGGAAGGCAUCGAGCGAAAUCUUCUUACGAAAAACAGAGACAGGUUCACCCAGAACCUGUCAGCAUUCCGUCGAGAAGUCAACGACUCAAUGAAGAAUUCCACUUAUGGCGUGAAUAGCAAUGACAUGAUGAGCUGACACCUCCUUGGACUCUACCUGUACAGAGCAGCGUCCCUUUGGUUUGGCCCAGAGGGGCGAACAAUUGCAAGGGAGAGGGCCUGGCUGAUCCUGGCUCUUUUCUCCAGGGGUGUGGGGAAAAUGGCAAAGGUCAACUAGCUGCUUCCCCAGGGAAUAGGGGUGUGAGUACACUCACUAGGGGGCAGGGCGCUGCUGGUUCCUGGGGGACUGGGUGGGAAGGGUGGUGGGAGGAGAUAAGAGAUACAAACUGAGACUCCAGCCUCUCCUCCUGGGGCCACCCAAGUGGGGAGAACCCCUAGUGUCCUGCCACAACCUGCCUUGUAUAAACAUGUACAUUUUUUCAUAACAUUUUGAACAAGGUUUAUAUUGACUCAAGUUUAAAAACAAAAAGUGUGACUGAAAAAUUUUUACAGAGUCUAGUGCACCAAUGCUGAUGUGAGGGGUUGUGUAUGCGAGUGAAGAAAAUGUGUAUUCUGGUGGCCUGAAGCUUUACUGGACAAGGAUGUGUGAGAGUGCAGAGAUAUAUUUAGUGACACAGUAGAGAGGCAAAAAAAAAGCUAAAAUUCCAAAUGUAUAUUUUUUCGUAUUGCCCUGUCCUCACCCAGAAAUGAUCAAUUCCUGUUACUGUAUUAACCCUUGUUAUUAGGAACUCUAAGCCAUGCCAGAACACCGUCCCUCCCCUUGGACCGUGUAGAUUCUGCCCUGGGUCCCUAGCCCCUUGCAGUGAUAAAUAACUCCAGCUAAAAGUGUUUGGUGUUCUUAUCUCCACCCUCUUUCCUACUUUGCUUACCCUCAUCCUCAGACAGAUGCCUCUUGCUUUUAAAAGUUGGAUUUAACGACGUGUUGUAGGGUUCUUGGUCUGUGUGAAGGCAGAGACCAGAGAGAAGGAAGUGAGCCCACUGCUCUCCUGGGAGCAAUGUGGGUGAGUCCACCAGAGGCCCUGCUGUGUGUGGCCAAUAAAUUUUAGUCUUCCCCAGCCCUCGAGGCAGUGUGUGUGGAUGUAUGCGUGUGGAUAUUUAUAUAUGUACCCUGCACUCAUGAAUGUAUGAACUGGAGGAAGUUACUACAGUGGAAGGGUUCUUAAUAACAAGGUCUACCUAGCAUGAAGUAUUUAACAUUCUCCCAUCCCUUAAAAAAUAUACAUUUUUAUAAAAUGAAAACCAUAAUAAAUGUUUUGAAUAUUAAAAAAAAUAAUAACCUACAGAGGAAAAUUAAUGGAGACAGCUAUUUGCCUUGUACUUUUUCCACAAUUGUUGCUGCUAGUUGUACACAUCUCUAGUUCAGCUCUUGCCCACGGGACACUCAUCAAUUAGGUUUUAUUUUUAUUUCUUUCCUCUACCCCCAGAAACAAGCCUGUUAAUUUUUUUUCCUUCUCCUCUGGCGACUGUGUGAUGAAUCCUUUCUUGCGUGAUCAGGUUGCGGAUAGACUUGUAAGGGUGUUUGCUGCAUACAGUGUAAGCAUUGUGACCGCCAAUAAACUUCAAUGGUUUCUACUGA